AUUGAACGCUGGCGGCAGGCCUAACACAUGCAAGUCGAGCGGAGGAAGGGAGCUUGCUCCUGGAUUCAGCGGCGGACGGGUGAGUAAUGCCUAGGAAUCUGCCUGGUAGUGGGGGAUAACGUCCGGAAACGGGCGCUAAUACCGCAUACGUCCUGAGGGAGAAAGUGGGGGAUCUUCGGACCUCACGCUAUCAGAUGAGCCUAGGUCGGAUUAGCUAGUUGGUGGGGUAAAGGCCUACCAAGGCGACGAUCCGUAACUGGUCUGAGAGGAUGAUCAGUCACACUGGAACUGAGACACGGUCCAGACUCCUACGGGAGGCAGCAGUAGGGAAUAUUGGGCAAUGGGCGAAAGCCUGAUCCAGCCAUGCCGCGUGUGUGAAGAAGGUCUUCGGAUUGUAAAGCACUUUAAGUUGGGAGGAAGGUCAGUAAGUUAAUACCUUGCUGUUUUGACGUUACCAACAGAAUAAGCACCGGCUAACUUCGUG
rnacentral:rRNA from 1 species